UAUAUACUUGAUUAUCCAUGGCUGUUCUCACACCAAAACACAUCCAUUUUCUAGUUUCUCAACUGAACUAAUAGUUUUUUCCUUCUCUCUCUUGAAUUUCCAUCAUUCCUCCAAAGUCUUUUACUUCUUUUGAUAAGAAAAACUUGCAUGUUUCACUUGCCAACGAAUGAGAUACUAUGAACUUUUACUCGUUUUUUCUCCUAAACCUUUUACUAUCCCAUCUCUUUCCUCAUCACUCGAGUUUGGCCAUGGCAAAACUUCAAGAUGUUGAGGACGAACAAGUUGGAGAAACUUUGAUGAAUCUUCAAGGCAUGUACGUGGAAGAUCAUUAUCAUGUUCAAAGGAAAUUGCUACAUGAAGUACAUUCAGGGACAAAUCCUAUCGGUAAUUUGCUACCACCCAAAUUACAAAGAAUUCCUUAGGAACUCUCUUUUUAGCUCUUAAUCUUCCUCCUCACCAUCAUCAUCUUUCUAUACCAUGUCAAACUGUGAUUACAGGAGAUAAUAAUCAGUUUUAUUAAUUAAAUGUUCAGACGCAAAUAUAUAUAUAUAUAUAUAUAUUGAUAUUUCUAUUAAUAAUAAAAUUAUCAAAAUUAAUCAA